UACAGAGGUCUCAAGCGUUGUUCGGAUUCAUUGGGCGUAAAGGGUGCGUAGGCGGCGCGGUAAGUCGGGUGUGAAAUCUCGGAGCUUAACUCCGAAAACUGCAUUCGAUACUGCCGUGCUUGAGGACUGGAGAGGAGACUGGAAUUUACGGUGUAGCGGUGAAAUGCGUAGAUAUCUGGAGGAACACCGGUGGCGAAGGCGGCAUCCUGGACCGGUAUUGACGCUGAGGCGCGAAAGCCAGGGGAGCAAACGGG
rnacentral:rRNA from 1 species